AGUGAACGCUGGCGGUAGGCCUAACACAUGCAAGUCGAACGGCAGCACAGUAAGAGCUUGCUCUUACGGGUGGCGAGUGGCGGACGGGUGAGGAAUACAUCGGAAUCUACUUUUUCGUGGGGGAUAACGUAGGGAAACUUACGCUAACACCGCAUACGACCUACGGGUGAAAGCAGGGGAUUUUCGGACCUUGCGCGAUUGAAUGAGCCGAUGUCGGAUUAGCUAGUUGGCGGGGUAAAGGCCCACCAAGGCGACGAUCCGUAGCUGGUCUGAGAGGAUGAUCAGCCACACUGGAACUGAGACACGGUCCAGACUCCUACGGGAGGCAGCAGUGGGGAAUAUUGGACAAUGGGCGCAAGCCUGAUCCAGCCAUACCGCGUGGGUGAAGAAGGCCUUCGGGUUGUAAAGCCCUUUUGUUGGGAAAGAAAAGCAGCAGGUUAAUACCCCGCUGUUCUGACGGUACCCAAAGAAUAAGCACCGGCUAACUUCGUG
rnacentral:rRNA from 1 species